rnacentral:tRNA from 1 species
GCCUUCUUGGUAUAGUGGUCGGCACGCUGGACGUGUAUUCCAGAGAUCCGUGGUUCGAAUCCCAGUGAAGGCG